rnacentral:misc_RNA from 1 species
GAUGAAGGAACGUAGCGAAAUGCGAUAAGUAAUGUGAAUUGCAGAUUUCAGUGAAUCAUCGAAUCUUUGAACGCACCUUGCGCCUUGUGGUAUUCCACAAGGCAUGCCCGUUUGAGUAUCAUUAAAUCAUCAACUUCAAAAACUUUGUGUUGUUUGAAGCUUGGUCUUGAGGGUUUUUGCAGGUCGCAUAUAUAUAUAUGCUUGGUCUGCUCCCUUUAAAUGCAUUAGCGAGACUUCCCUGUGUUUGAACAACGGUCUCUGGCGUGAUAAUUAUCUACGUCAAUGUCACCAGUUCUCGUUGGGCUUGCUUUCUAACCGUCCCUUGGGACAAACUGGAAUUUUUUUAGAGUGCAUAUAUGCGCCCUUUCUUUUUUCCAAAAAGCAUUUUUGAUCUCAAAUCGGGUAGGACUACCCGCUGAACUUAAGCAUAUCAAUAAGCGGAGGA